CUAUAGACCGCCUGGAGGAUUCUAGAUCUUGUUUUUUGUUAUUAAGACCAACUUAACGUAGACAAUUUAGUCUUAUUACUAGAUUAAACCUGACAUUGGCUAAAAGAUGAUCUGAAGCGUUCAACAGUGGAUGGCUGCCUGAUUGUGUGUUAUGCCAGCUGGACUGUUAUUUUAUAAGACUGUUGAACAUCUUUUACUUCUAAAUCUAAAAGCUGAUGCUAUGACACUCAAUGGCUUAGAAUAAAUCCUGUCAGUUUUAUAUGGUCAUGGCAAUAAUCUUUAAUAAAUAAGUCUUAUACAAGGACAAUAAAGAUUAUUAUUAUUAUUA
rnacentral:sRNA from 1 species